AUACGGAGGGUGCGAGCGUUAAUCGGAAUUACUGGGCGUAAAGGGUGCGUAGGCGGCUUGAUAAGUCGGAUGUGAAAGCCCCGGGCCUAACCUGGGAAUUGCAUUCGAUACUGUCAGGCUAGAGUAUGUCAGAGGUUGGCGGAAUUCCUGGUGUAGCUGUGAAAUGCGUAGAUAUCAGGAGGAACACCAGUGGCGAAGGCGGCUAACUGGGGCAAUACUGACGCUGAGGCACGAAAGCGUGGGGAGCAAACAGGAUUAGAAACCCUAGUAGUCC
rnacentral:rRNA from 1 species